AUGUACAUUCCUACAACAUAUAUUUAAUGCACUAUAUCCCAUUACAACUCCACAUUUAAGCAUGCUCAGGCUAGAGUAGUACUGGGAUGGGUGACCUCCUGAGAAGUCCUAGUGUUUUACAUG
rnacentral:rRNA from 1 species